GUAUGGCAGAACGGAUUGACCGUGAAGUAUUUGGGCGUGUGAUGACUAACCGGAUGCCAGUCUUUUGUGCGCCACUAGGAAUUAGGGAGAGUUCGAAAGGGGUGAUGGGCAGUGUUGACGCUGUCUGUCGCUGUGUCUUUCCGCUUACGUAUGCUGUGUGUGUAUCGGUGGCCGCACGCCUUUCGAUGUACGUCGACGCAGACGGCGUUUAUGCAUUCGCCGAUACACGAAUUUAACUUUGGUAGCCAGCCAUCGGAUGUGGAGGGGGCGAUGGCGGACGUCAGUGCGUCGACAUCUUGCCACGUCUGCUUCUCUUGAGUCCCUCCCUCCCUUCGUACCUCCGCUAAUCACGGUUUCUCUCUCUCCUCCUCGCCGGCCCUUCUCCGACCACUCCCACUCUGACCACCAUGUCCACAUCUGUUCGCAUCUUGUCUUGUUUACGUGUGCUUACUUCAUUCACCAACGCGAUCCUACGACUUUUAGUGUCUCUGCGCAUCUGUGGUUUCUGAUGUUGUUGCUCUCCUCCGCGCGCUCGCGUGUGUGUGGGGGAUGGGGGGGAUCCGGUGGUGACUGAGAGUGGUGUGAGCAUGCAUGCCCGCGUGCCCACAUUGCGAUCAGGGAUGAUACGGCGAGCUAGAUGGCGUUCUUGUACUUUGCGCUCGCUUUCCCCUCUCCGUUUUGUUUUCUCCUUUUCUUUCGGCUUCUUCUGUCUUGUGUGUGCGCUUGUAUGUGUGUGUGUGUGUGUGUGCCUGUCUGUCUGUCUGCUGCGUGCGCUGCAAGGUGCCACUGAAGUGUGCGCAUGCGAAGCGUGCUUGAGUGCUAAACAGCCCUUUUUUUUCAUUAUUGAACUGUCUCCUGUCUCCGUAUCUGCGGCACAGCUCUUCUACGUUCGUGAGUGUUCCUGUCUUCAGCCUCCUUCCCUGCCUCCGUCAUCUUCCGCUUCUAGUUUUCGCCGCGUCAACCCAUCUCCCUCCGCCCCGCUCCCCAUGACCGGCAACUUGAGCGACAGCGGCGAAGAAGAGAGACAAACAAAAGGCGACGAUGCGCGAGAUAUUAGAGGACGCUGCGGAGGGCGGAGGAAGCACAAAAAAAAAGGAAUGAGCAACCUCCAAAGGAAAACAAGACUAUGAGCUCACCUUGUCACAUCUGUGCGGUGCUGCCGCGAUGAUGCACAAGAGGCAAACCGCUUUCUCUUGCCUCGCUCUUUGAUUUUCUUCCCCGCUUUCGACGGCAGUGCCACCGAUUUCUCGUUCUUUCUGUCCGUCUCUCUCGAUGCAUGCGUGUCCCCGCAAGAGCAGUGACGCUAGACUCCAUAGAGGGAAAGGGGAUUACGAAGGACAGGCACACGAGGUGGACAGAAGAGUGGGGCCAACGAGAAAGGUGAGCAGUUUCGUGGGAGUCAAGGCGGUCUUAUCACACAGAAAAGGGCUUCUUCCCCAUUUGAAAGGUAUCGGUUGCUGUGCCCUCAAGGCUGCUUCACUGCACGGCAACUGUGCGCCACCCUCUCUUCCCUUUUUCAGUCCUCGGGUGCAUAGGUUGUCGCCGUCGUAGCAAACAUCAAGGGUAUGUAUGUAAGCAAGCCAAGUACUAUGAAGCGCUCAUGAGUGCUCUGCUCGUUCUUUUAUGGGCUGCCGUUACACAGCGUGCUCCAAUGCGCGUGUAUUUGCAGCGAAGUGGAGGUGCCCCUUACCCACCUUUACGGUCGCCUACCGAAACCCCCUGGGCACACGCACGUGCUUGUAAUGCUUGCCCCAUUUCAACAGUCACGAUCAUGUCUGCUGCUUUUCUUUCACUUUUCUCGGAAUGUGU
rnacentral:misc_RNA from 1 species